rfam:Triticum aestivum genome assembly, contig: Triticum_aestivum_CS42_TGACv1_scaffold_221707_3B
UUUGUACUCCCUUCGUUCGGAAUUACUUGUCUCGGUAAUAGAUGUAUUUAAAACUAAAAUACAUUUAAAUACAUUCAUUUCUACGACAAGUAAUUCCGAACGGAAGGAGUAGAUA